GACGAACGCUGGCGGCGUGCUUAACACAUGCAAGUCGAACGAGAUCCAUGAGGUGGUAACACCUCGGAAGAUCUAGUGGCGAACGGGUGAGUAACACGUGAGGAACUUGCCCCAGACUCCGGGAUAACUCAGGGAAACUUGAGCUAAUACCGGAUAUUCUCUCGAGGUCGCAUGGCCUCUUGAGCAAAGUUUUCGGUCUGGAGAGCCUCGCGGCCUAUCAGCUGUUGGUGAGGUAACGGCCUACCAAGGCGGUGACGCGUAGCUGGCGUGAGAGCGUGGCCAGCCACACUGGGACUGAGACACGGGCCCAGACUCCUACGGGAGGCAGCAGUAGGGAAUCUUGCACAAUGGGCGCAAGCCUGAUGCAGCGACG
rnacentral:rRNA from 1 species